GCCUUCGUGGUGUGACGGUAGCACACUCGGCGCGUAUUCGAAAUGUCUAGGGUUCGAUUCCCGGUGAGGGCA
rnacentral:tRNA from 1 species